rnacentral:rRNA from 1 species
AGCGAACGCUGGCGGCAGGCCUAACACAUGCAAGUCGAACGGACCCUUCGGGGUUAGUGGCGGACGGGUGAGUAACACGUGGGAACGUGUCUUUAGGUUCGGAAUAGCUCCUGGAAACGGGUGGUAAUACCGAAUGUGCCCUUCGGGGGAAAGAUUUAUCGCCUUUAGAGCGGCCCGCGUCUGAUUAGCUUGUUGGUGAG